UGCUGCGUUUACCCAGAGGGCAGUUAAGAGUCAACUGCGUUGCUAUAUGUCUGGAGUCCCAUGCAGACCAGACCAGAUCCCAGUGAUCAGUGCCAAAGCCCCAUUGCCUGUGGAGAGGGUGAUGUUUGAUUUCCCUGUCCAGCUGCAGUUCAUGUGGUGAAGGUGCUCCCACAAUGUGGUUGGGGUGCUCAAUGGUGAAGAUUCACAGCCUGAAAUCUCAAACUCAUGUGCAGAUUGUGAUUAAGUUAACCAGCAUUUGAAGAACCAAAGAUAGAGAAUAACUUGGCCAAAAUCCAGCAACACUCUCCUUCCCAGCAUUGUCUGUCUCUCUGCGCCAAAUGGACUGUGAAUGGUUCAAGACAGCAGCUCACUACCAUCUUCUCAAGGGUAACUAGAGAUGGGGAAUAAAUGCUGGCUGAGCCAGUGAUGCCCAUAUCCUGGAAAUGGUUUCUAUCUCUAGUUGCUGAAACCCAGUUGAUGUUACUGCAGGAUGAUGAGGGAUACUGAGUGCAUCCUCCAGGAGGCAGCACCAUCACAUUACCCCUGCCUACACCCACACAGUAACACAGCAACGUCACUGGAACAAAAGGCAGUGAAACCAAAGG